GCCUUCGUGGUGUAAUGGUCAGCACACUUGGCCGGCAUUCAGAGGUCCAUGGUUUGAGUCCUGGUGAGGGCA
rnacentral:tRNA from 1 species